CCUACGGGUGGCAGCAGUGAGGAAUAUUGGUCAAUGGACGAGAGUCUGAACCAGCCAAGUAGCGUGAAGGAUGACUGCCCUAUGGGUUGUAAACUUCUUUUAUAUGGGAAUAAAACGUUCCACGUGUGGGAUUUUGUAUGUACCAUAUGAAUAAGGAUCGGCUAACUCCGUGCCAGCAGCCGCGGUAAUACGGAGGAUCCGAGCGUUAUCCGGAUUUAUUGGGUUUAAAGGGAGCGUAGGUGGAUUGUUAAGUCAGUUGUGAAAGUUUGCGGCUCAACCGUAAAAUUGCAGUUGAAACUGGCAGUCUUGAGUACAGUAGAGGUGGGCGGAAGUCGUGGUGUAGCGGUGAAAUGCUUAGAUAUCACGAAGAACUCCGAUUGCGAAGGCAGUUCACUGGACUGCAACUGACACUGAGGCUCGAAAGUGUGGGUAUCAAACAGGAGUAGAUACCCGUGUAGUC
rnacentral:rRNA from 1 species